rnacentral:lncRNA from 1 species
GUAAGGAAUAAGUUUCUAGGAAUUUGUGCUUGAAAGAGCAUGUGAGAUGACCUAGCUAUUAACAUUAUUUCUGAUGCCAUUGUUUAAUUUCUCUUUAAAAAGGUAUGAUCUCAAUGUUGACCUAUUAGAUGUUCAUGCUGACAAGAGCACCUUUCAUCGUUUUGACAAAUUUAACCUCAAGUACAAUCCCUGUGGUCAAAGUAGGUUGAGAGAGAUUUUUCUCAAGCAGGAUAAUCUUAUACAAGGUACUUCGACAAAUUUAACCUCAAGUACAAUCCAUGCGGUCAAAGUAGGCUGAGAGAGAUUUUUCUCAAGCAGGAUAAUCUUAUACAAGGUAUGCUGUAUGUAUCUUUUGGAUGGUCUUUCCAGUUGACCCUUCUAUCAUCAUUGUAAUCAUCUUCUUUAAAAUCAAGUAGAAGUUGGGAUAUGGUUUGAAUGUUAUCAAGCAUAUAUCCUAAUCCCUAGGCUGCAUGAACUUUUGUAUGGGUAAGUAUCUAAAUGUGUAUGAGUAAGUUUCUUGUAUGGGUAUGUUUCAUUUUAGUGAAUGACCAUGUCAGCUGAUCAUCAACAACAACAACU